GACGAACGCUGGCGGCGUGCUUAACACAUGCAAGUCGAGCGGUAAGGCUCCUUCGGGAGUACACGAGCGGCGAACGGGUGAGUAACACGUGAGUAAUCUGCCCUUCACUUCGGGAUAACCGCCGGAAACGGUGGCUAAUACCGGAUACGACGCGUUUACGCAUGAGAUGCGCGUGGAAAGUCUUAUCGGUGGAGGAUGUGCUCGCGGCCUAUCAGCUUGUUGGUGGGGUAACGGCCUACCAAGGCUUCGACGGGUAGCCGGCCUGAGAGGGUGGCCGGCCACACUGGGACUGAGACACGGCCCAGACUCCUACGGGAGGCAGCAGUGGGGAAUAUUGGACAAUGGGCGAAAGCCUGAUCCAGCAACGCCGCGUGAGGGAUGACGGCCUUCGGGUUGUAAACCUCUUUCAGUACCGACGAAGCGCCAAUAACGGUGGUGACGGUAGGUACAGAAGAAGGACCGGCCAACUACGUGCCAGCAGCCGCCGUAA
rnacentral:rRNA from 1 species